GUUAACCUAACACCAGAACACCCCCGGAAAGAUUAAAAGAGAAAGAAGGAACUCGGCAAAUUUCAACCCCGCCUGUUUACCAAAAACACCGCCUCUUGCUCAACAAUAAGAGGUCCAGCCUGCCCAGUGACACAAUUCAACGGCCGCGGUAAACUAACCGUGCGAAGGUAGCAUAAUCACUCGUUCUUUAAAUAAGGACUCGUAUCAACGGCAUCACGAGGGUUGCACUGUCUCCUUCCUCCAAUCAGUGAAACUGAUCUCCCCGUGAAGAAGCGGGGAUAUUAAUAUAAGACGAGAAGACCCCAUGGAGCUUUAAACCCACAGCAACUCAUAAUAUAACCCUAAGAAAUCACAGAGCACUGCACGUCGGCUUUAGGUUGGGGUGACCGCGGAGUAAAAAUUAACCUCCAUGACGAAAAGAACUAAAUCUUUAUCCAAGAGUUACUACUCUAAGAAUUAAUAUACUAACGUAAAAUGACCCAUUAAUGAUCAACGAACCAAGUUACCCUGGGGAUAACAGCGCAAUCUACUUCAAGAGCUCCUAUCGACAAGUAGGCUUACGACCUCGAUGUUGGAUCAGGGUAUUCCCAAGUGGUGCAA
rnacentral:rRNA from 1 species